rnacentral:rRNA from 1 species
UACGUAGGGUGCGAGCGUUGUCCGGAAUUACUGGGCGUAAAGAGCUCGUAGGUGGUUUGUCGCGUUGUCCGUGAAAACUCACAACUCAACUGUGGGCGUGCGGGCGAUACGGGCAGACUUGAGUACUGCAGGGGAGACUGGAAUUCCUGGUGUAGCGGUGGAAUGCGCAGAUAUCAGGAGGAACACCGGUGGCGAAGGCGGGUCUCUGGGCAGUAACUGACGCUGAGGAGCGAAAGCGUGGGGAGCGAACAGG